rnacentral:rRNA from 1 species
UAGUGGCGCACGGGUGCGUAACGCGUGGGAAUCUGCCCUCUGGUACGGAAUAACUCAGGGAAACUUGAGCUAAUACCGUAUAAUGACGGUCCAAAGAUUUAUCGCCUGAGGAUGAGCCCGCGUAGGAUUAGCUAGUUGGUGAGGUAAAAGCUCACCAAGGCGACGAUCCUUAGCUGGUCUGAGAGGAUGAUCAGCCACACUGGGACUGAGACACGGCCCAGACUCCUACGGGAGGCAGCAGUGGGGAAUAUUGGACAAUGGGCGAAAGCCUGAUCCAGCAAUGCCGCGUGAGUGAUGAAGGCCUUAGGGUUGUAAAGCUCUUUUACCCGGGAUGAUAAUGACAGUACCGGGAGAAUAAGCCCCGGCUAACUCCGUGCCAGCAGCCGCGGUAAUACGGAGGGGGCUAGCGUUGUUCGGAAUUACUGGGCGUAAAGCGCACGUAGGCGGCUUUGUAAGUUAGAGGUGAAAGCCCGGGGCUCAACUCCGGAAUUGCCUUUAAGACUGCAUCGCUAGAAUUGUGGAGAGGUAAGUGGAAUUCCGAGUGUAGAGGUGAAAUUCGUAGAUAUUCGGAAGAACACCAGUGGCGAAGGCGACUUACUGGACACAUAU